GGGGGCGGGGCUAAGAGAAAAGGAGGUAAAGGCAGUUUCGAGGGGAGGGGGCCAGGCGAAGGAGUGGACCUGGUGGAGCCAUGACUAGAUCGAAAGAGAGGAGAGUGGACUUGGUUAAUUAGAGGGGCUGAGCAGGGACCUACUCCAAGUUCUAGGCAGGUUCCGAUGUACCGUUAGGCCCAAGUCUGCACUACCACUUUCGGUUUCUGGGUUCCUGCCGCUAAGCUGCCUUUGGGCCUGCCCUGGCAGCAGAGCCCCUUCUUCCUACAGAACGAUCCUCAAACAGGAGCCCCCAGGCCUGGACACGACCGCCCUUCAGGGUUUGUGAGGAUGCAGCCUUGACCCGUCCAUCCCUUCUGUGAACUCAUCCCCUCCAGAAACCCACAGACCCAGAGACAGGCCUCCUGAAAUCACCCCAGGAUACUGCCAUUAUUUUGGGGUUUCUACUUACCAAAAAUGUUCCUGGGCUUGAAUGGAUCUCUUUGUGCAAGGAGCAGAAGGAAUGAACAUAAGUUGGAGUGGAUGGGACAUUGUUAAGGGGUCCUCAGGCUCCUCCCUCCAUAAAGGAGAUCUGGUAUCAUUUCAAGGUGUGAUGGAGAUUCUCUGUCCUUUAGGAGCCUGUCUCUUCAAUUCUUUCAUUGCCUUCUUCCUCCUCCUCAUGAUGCCCCAAAUGGCCUUAGGGCAGUUCUCAGUGAUUGGACCUGCAGGACCCAUCCACGCCUCACUUGGGGGAGAGGCAGAGUUACCAUGUUACCUGUCCCCACCUCAGAGUGCUCAGCAUAUGGAGGUGGUCUGGUUCCAAUCCACUUGGGUGGUACAUCUCUAUCGAGAUUGAGAAGAUCAGUUUGGAGACCAGGACCCUCAUUACCAAGGGAGGACAGAGUUGGUGAGAGAUGCUAUCACAAGUGGGAAUGUCACCCUGAAGAUACUGGAUGUGAGAUUCUUGGAUGCAGGAAAGUACAUGUGUCUCAUUGGAGAUGAUUUUCACCAAGAGCAAGCUGAUGUGGAGCUGAAGGUCUUAGGUGAAGAAAGCAUGUUUAUGUGCAUAUAUGGGUGGGUAGGUAGAGACUUCCUUACCAGUUCUGUGAUUCUAGGAAUCACAGGAUGUCCUGGUUGAAAGGGACCCCCCACACCAUUUACUCCAAUACCUCUCUGAACAAGAAAUGUCUCUUUACAUGCCCAAUAGGUACCUAUUUUCAUUUGGCCUGAAUUCUUGGUCUCUCACCUGGUGCCUUGUAAAUGGAAGAUAAUUAAUGAAUGCUUGUUGAAUUUAAUAGAGCUUCCAGCCUUUACUUAAAGACUUUUAAUGAGAAGUCAUACUACUUUCCUGGAGGAGGCAGCCCUUUCCACUUCUGGAUAAAUUUCAUCAUGAAGAAGUUUUUGUUGACAUCAAACUUAAAUCAUCCUGUCUACAAUUUUCACCCAUUGCUAUUAGUUCUGUCCCAGAGGGACAAUCAGAAUGAAUGUAAUCCAUUUUCCAAAGCCUAGUUCUUCAAACCUGCAAACAGUUAUCAUGCCCUGGCUAAGUCUUCUCUCUUCCAGGCUAUGACAAUUACCACACUGAAAGAAUGAGAAUGUUAAACUUUACCAGUUUUGUUUUUGGCAUAAUCUCAAAGCUGUAUGACUUCUGGCAAAUUUUUGCAAGGGCUCUAGCCCCCAGACACCCUGAUAGUGUCUUUUGAAGUUCACAAGAUUGUACCCACCUCCACCAGAAACAGAAGCAACAGCACAACCAGAUCUUCUCAGUUUCAAGCUAGCUCUGAGUGAAAAAAAGCCCCAAUUCCCUGUGCUACCUAGAGGCCCACAGCAGCUAUUUCUUCUUCUGAAAUACUAGU
ensembl:lncRNA